rnacentral:tRNA from 1 species
GUGUGGCUCAGUGGUAGAGCGCUUGCCUCUCAUGCACAAGGCCCCUGGGUUUAACUCCCAGCAC